GGGGACGUGGUGUAAUGGUCAGCACCCGAGGUUGUGGACCUCGUUGUAGGAGUUCGAAUCUUCUCGUUCCCAUCA
rnacentral:tRNA from 1 species